rnacentral:misc_RNA from 1 species
UUUCCGUAGGUGAACCUGCGGAAGGAUCAUUACCGAGUGAUGGUUUCUCAGGCCCCACCUCCCACCCUGUGUUUUUGUGACCUUGUUGCUUUGGCGGGCGCGCCUCGAUUAGAGGCCGCCGGAAGCUCACCGCUUUGGGCCCGUGCCUUUCAGUAGCCUCCUUAAAUUCUUAAUAAAACUGUCGUCUGAUUUAAUGGAUAUAAUGAAAAAAAACUUUCAACAACGGAUCUCUUGGUUCUG